GCCAGCGUUCACUUGAUUAGAUCUCCAUUCUUGUGGUUCCCAGCCAGUGCCAUCCGGGGAGAGCCUGAAUCAGAGAGGCCGCAGCCAGCGCAGGCAGCACCUGUGUUUACCUGGCUCCACCGCCCGUUUAGAGCGAGCGGCGGCGAGGGGGGAGGCAGGAGGGGGCUCGCCCCGCGCCCGGGGAGGCCGGCUGCUGAGCCCGGGCGCUCCUCUGCCUCCAUCGGCGGGGAGGCCGUCUGCGCCUCGCCGGAAGCGCUGGCAACCAGAGCCUCUCACAACCCCCGGGGUGCCUUGACCUUGCUGCGCCGCGCUAGCUCAGCCGCGGAAUGAUCCUGCCUCCUCGGCCCCAUCAGAACUGCCAUUUUCUGGAUGUCAUACUGUCGAGGAAGGGAUGGUGGUGACAAAUAGCCUCACAUAAAAUGUGAUCAUCACUGUGGACUGGGGUGCCUCUCUGGAAAAAGAAGGAUUUCCUUCACUCUCUAGAGCCAGUGAAGACCUAAUGGCCUGGGUUCCGGGCAGGAGGGACCUGGUCAAAGGCCGUGGUGUGUAAAGCUGGUUCCUGAAAUAUGGUGUCAGGACUGAGCUUAAAGGAAGGUUGAAAGAUUGAGAUGAUGAUAAGAGACCUCUUCUUGAGAGAUUGACCAGUGAACUCCCGAGAUACUUUUCCCUUCCUGCAGAGUCAUUCUCUUCUGCUAUCCACAAACCAUUGGUAAAGUUUUGUAAACGAUAUGGCCUGGUCUUAGAAGUGCUUGGAAAAUGAACUGUGUCUGCACAGAGACUUGAGCAAAGUGCAGAGAUUCCCAGCAGCCUGGAGAAGUAGUUGUGAAACUCUCGGAGUCCACCCACAGAGAAGCCUAGAACAUUCAGCAGACAGAGAGGCGGCCCAUGAGAGCCCAUUAAAGGCUGGACUUCUUGCUGGUUUAGGGGUGGAAAGGGGGCUUGUAGGUUGUUACUAGGUAUUAAAUAGAAGGUAACCCCUGGAGCCUGGAGAAUUUGAGAUAUCUCAGGGUCGAUCUCAUGUGAGACCAUGAAAGUCCAGAUUUGGGGUUUUAUAAAUUAAAAACUGAGAGAUGCACCACUCACUGGAAAUCCUCAGAGAUGACCACUACCUACUUGUGAUUAGCUGUAACUAGCUGUGAAACCCAGAGCAAGUCAGGUCAAUUCUCUGAGCCUCAGUUUCAUCACCUACAAAGUGAAAGGAAUUAGAUUGGAUCAUCUCUAAAAUAACGAUUAGAUGAAAAGUUUUGCAAUUCUGUCUCCCUGCCCCCUCACCUUGAUGCCCAAUAAAAUGGGAAAGCUAAAGAAAAAAAAUAGAAAUCAAAAGGUAAGGGGAAAAGGAAAAUCAUCGUAGUAAAUAUCAAGUACCCAGAUAGUCAGUAGCCAUAUGAUGAACUACUAUGACUUGUUUUAUUAUGGUUAUUAUAGAUAUAUCUACCCACGUUCUUAGGAAUUCACAUUUUUUUAGUGACUAGUCCCUCUUAUACACAGUAUCUCUUCUUUAUCUUAAUCGUAUUUAUGUCUUGCUUUAUGAAAUUACCGUCAUCUAGGUUUAUGUAAGUACGCUCUAUGACGUUCAAACAAUGACAAAAUCCCUAACGAUGCAUUUCUCAGAACGUAUUCCCAUUGUUAAGUGAUGCCUGACUACUUUCUUGCCGAUUAAAA
rnacentral:lncRNA from 1 species